AAGACUAUACUUUCAGGGAUCAUUUCUAUAGUGUUUAACUUGGAAAUGUGUUUUGAAAGUGUUAGGCCUCCCAAACCACGAUGAUGAGUAUUGAAACUCUUUUCUGAGCGUGAGUCGGGUGCUGAGCAAUGAUUCCUUUCAUAAGUUCUGUACCAUUGAUGAAUGUUUCUUACUGCAGUUAACAUGUGGUAUGAAAGAAAAGGGUUUGAUCAGAGUGGU